rnacentral:rRNA from 1 species
UCUUCCACAAUGGGUGCAAACCUGAUGGAGCAAUGCCGCGUGAAUGAAGAAGGUCUUCGGAUUGUAAAGUUCUGUUAUAGAGGAAGAACGGUGUACGUAGGAAAUGACGUACAAGUGACGGUACUCUGUGAGGAAGCCACGGCUAACUACGUGCCAGCAGCCGCGGUAAUACGUAGGUGACAAGCGUUGUCCGGAAUUAUUGGGCGUAAAGGGAGCGCAGGCGGUUGGAAUAGUCUGAUGUGAAAGCCCACGGCUUAACCGUGGAAGGUCAUUGGAAACUGUCCAACUUGAAUGCAGAAGAGGUAAGUGGAAUUCCAUGUGUAGGGUGAAAUGCGUAGAUAUAUGGAGGAACACCAGUGGCGAAGGCGACUUACUGGUCUGUGAUUGACGCUGAGGCUCGAAAGCGUGGGUAGCGA